UACGAAGGGGGCGAGCGUUGUUCGGAAUUACUGGGCGUAAAGGGCGCGUAGGCGGCCGAGCAAGUUAGAUGUGAAAGUCCUGGGCUUAACCUGGGGACUGCAUUUGAUACUGCUUGGCUUGAAUUCGGGAGAGGAUAGCGGAAUUCCCAGUGUAGAGGUGAAAUUCGUAGAUAUCUGGAGGAACACCGGUGGCGAAGGCGGCAUCCUGGACCGACACUGACGCUGAGGAGCGAAAGCCAGGGGAGCAAACGGG
rnacentral:rRNA from 1 species